CCCGCGCCUCCCGGCCCCUGGCAGCUCCCGGGCCCGGCGAAGCCCGCCUGCCACCCCAGCCCGGGAGCCAAGGGCAUGAGCUGGGGGUGGGGGGGGAGGAGUAAUCUCCAGGCGGCACAAUCGGGGGAAUCAAAUGUCAGACUUAGCGCUCGGGCUGGCAGGUCCCUGCUUCUCUUGCCAGCGCGCGCUAGAAAAGCCCGGUCAGCAUUGAGUGUCCGUAGCUGAAGGACUGGGGGACUAGGAGCUGCAUGCCUGAGACCGCGGCGCGUGGGUAGAAGGGACCUGGGAAGGAACCGUCGCAGCGCAGGGCAGGACUGGCCCCCCACGGCACCUCUUUGCAUGCCGGCAUUGCUUCUGGUUUUCAUGCCAGGGCUGGGCUGUUUGAGCAGAUGUUCAAAAAGUUUGGAUCAUAAUGGCCGGCGAUGCUUCGGUGUUACGGUGAUCGGUGCGUUCAUCAGAGAAUUGCUGGAGUCAGGCUGGAAGGGACCGCCAGAGGUCGUUUAGUCCUGCCCGAGGCAGGAUCAUCCCUGUUCGAACCAUCCCGUAUAGACCAUCAUCUAUCCUAGAUUCUAGACAAGAGGACCCUCAACCCUGAUGACACAGACCUAGCUUCUGAACCUACCACCCCUAAAGCAGGGGACCCACAGCAGCCAAUGCCUUGCUUGUAUAAAAGGUCAUUAAUAUAGGCAAGAGAGAUCCCAGGUAGAGCUGCACCCCCUGCUACAGAAGAAGCCCCAAGCCCCUGCAGUUCCUACCAAUCUGACCAUUCAGGAAAGGUAGACUUCCUUCGUGACCCCAAAUCUGCCCAAGCAGUCUGACCCUGAGCAGAGGGGCAAAACCUUUUAGCCAGGAACUUCUAGCUUUAAGUCCCAGCAGAAGCAAAUGCAUUAGAAAUUGAUUAACUGAAACAGCAAAGCCCAUCAUCUCAAGAGAACCUAAGGCUGGAUCUCCCCAGAUGGCGUGGCCUCACAUUGAACCUGAUGGAUAGAACUAAUUUAAUUAAAAUGGACAUUCUUUUCAGAAUCUUGAAUUUCAUGCAACUGCUCGCAACCCUUCCCACUGGUUAGUUUAAGAACUAACACGUCUGGAUGUUUCUUGUGUUCCUCUGACAAAGCAAGAAACCCAGAACCAGUCGGAGUAAAUUAUGCAAGGUUCAGGUGGGGAAUGUUCAGAAUACCUGGAUGUUCCACCCAAGGAAAUUCACAAUUGGGUGGCCCUCGGCAGGUCUAUUUGGGACUGAUUUUGAUCCGAGGUACACAUCAAUCCAGUAAGGAGUCCACUGUCCUCGUCUUAAUAUCGUAUUGGAGAAUCAGUCCACAAUAAUCUGCGGGGCAAUCUGUUCACAGGAAUAAUCAUGAAGUUCAAUACUGUUCUAUCCCACUCAAGGGAAAUUCACUUCUGCAUACAUCAAAGACCUUCUAAACCAGUGGUUUGCAACCUGUUUAGACUUGAGGCAUACCUGGAUAGACGGAAGGCACCCCUUGGAAAAUGCAACUGUUAGUCUUCACUUAUUUUUGACUACAGAAAAACUAUGGUGCAAUUCUUCUGUUACAAAACAACUCCGAAAUACCACAGCAGAGAAGAAUGUUUUUAACACUGGAUUCCUAUUUGAAAUCUCUUGGUUUAUCUUGUGCAUCGUGUUUGCACACUUAAUGUGAACAUUGCAUGGCAUGCUUGAAAGGAGCUCUCCUGCAGAAAGUAUAAGCAGCUACAAUUAUUUAGUCUUCAAAGACUCCCCCACUUAGUUUUGAAGAUUAAUCAAUCUAAAGCAGAAAUUGCCAUAUGAUAUUAUAAAUGCAGAAACACUAGGGCUCCCCUUUUCCAUUACCUGUGCUCUGGGGGAAGCGGUCUCUUGUAUCCUUAACACUUUCUCUAGCGGUAGGUAACCAAGGUGCAUACGGAGAUUUACAAGCCUCCAUUUUUAAUUCGAAUGUGAUUUAUUUUCUCAACACUACCAGACUUGGUUCACAGAUCUGAGUGUCUUCUCAAAGUGCUUACAUUCGACAUAUCCACCAAACAACAACCAUUGGCCUGAGAACCUAAGCAGAAUGGACACUGCAUCCCCAAGUGACUGUAGAAUCAUAGAGAAGUCGGGCUGGAAGGGACCUCCACAGGUCAUCUAGUGCAACCCCAUCCAAACCAUCCUAUAUAAACAAUAAUCUAAACUCUAACUAAGACUACCAUCAACCUUGACACAACGCAGACCUAACAUCCUAACCUGACACAGUUAAAACAGGGGAACCACAGCAGCCAAUGUCCUAUUUCUAUGAAAUGUCCAUAUAUGCUCAAGAGACCCUGAGUAGAGAGCACCACCCCCCGCCACUACAGAGGAAGGCAAAACCCCCUGCAGUCGGUACCAUCUGACCAUGGGGUAAAAUUCCUUCCUGACCCCAAAUAUGACCAUCGGUCUGAACUUGAGCAGAGGGGCAAGACCCUCUAGCCAGGAACCUCCAGCUCUGGUUUUAGCAGAAGCACUGGCACACCUCAGCCCAAGUCCCCAGCUUUGGCUGUAUCUGUAGCAUGCCUGCUCCAGAACCACUGGUGACCUUGUACCUUGUAUGUCACCUGUGCAGGACUGGGAAAGAAAAGAAUUGUACAGGGAUUGUUGCUUUUGUCAUAACCCAAGGGUAUGAUUUUGUGUGUGCUUCAGCACUGCAGAAUUAUUUCCCGCCACGAGGAGCUUUCUUUGCACGGUGCAAUUCUCAGUUGCAUAGAGAAAACCCCGGUGC